AAGAAACAUCUGUAGAAUAUUAGAGAGGCUUAUCUGAAUAAUAGUACAUUCUGAAAAGAAUAUGGAUGUUCAUGUAACCAGAGAACUUCAUAUCUGAUGUAAUAGUAUGCAGUUAUUUUGAAGUAAUUCCACUUGAAGAAAGCUGAUUUCACAAGUACAGUACGCUUAUCGGGUACUUCACUUUCAGGCCAGGCUUAUUGUGGAACACAGGAUGGGUUAUAUCUUAAAACCAGCUUUAUCUAUGGGCGUAAACGUGUCGACAAAAGAAAUCAACAUAUAAAAUCCAAUGGAAUCAACAAAUAAAAUCAUAGGUCCUGUCUCCAAGCUUUUAAAGGAGUUGUAUCAUAUUUAUGGUCAUGACUGUGUGAAUAUUAUUGAUGCCAAUGAACAAGGACAGCGUCUAGUCGUUCGGAUGGCGCGAAAAAUCAGAGACCCCAUGUACAUAUUGGCAUACACUUAUAAUAAAGCUUCACAUUUGGAAUUCGAUAUAAGAGUAGGCUGCCGGGCAAAAUUUCUUUCAUGGCACACUGUAUGGCGAAAGUUUUUAUUAACCCAGUCGAUGCAGAAAAGUAGGACGUCAAACCCUAUUUCAUAUCAUUUCCAAUAUAUUUGAUAAAAUCACUUGAAAAAUGAUAUUAUCUAAUGAUAUUGGCAUACUCGCGCCAUUGUUUUCAGUACUGACCAUGUGUCACAAUAACGACGCUUAACGCUAAUCGCAGUUGUCAUCUUUUUUACAACUUUGUGACUUGUGUUGUGGUCAUUUAUCAAAUGAUGGUCAUCCAACUUCGGACAGAUAAAACAUUAAUACUUUAGACAAACGUGGACACGUGGCGAUAAUGGCUAGAAGGAUGACCACUGGUCACUCUGGUCACCUCCUCUGGACAUGAGGUUUUUUGUGUGUAACCUUCAAUAUGUCAUGUUCUACCGAUAUAUUUGAAGUCAUGCCACAACUUGGUCGUGAUUAAUAUUCUUAAAUUGGGUUUUAAUGAAACUGUGUACAUUUUAACAGUUGGUCGCUUUUGGUGCGUUGAAUUGACAUUUUGUUUUGAGUAUUCCUCCCCUUUUUUCACGAAUAGGCAUUUUGAAAAAUGUGCGAUGAUUACCGAAUAAUUUUGAAGGAACCUUUUGUAAAUGAUUUAUUAAUGAUCGUCAUUUUACAUUUUUCGGACAUUAGUCUAUUUUUCAAGACUUAAUCCACGGUGAAAUUGAUAAUGUUAAAACAUUUAAUUGAAAAAAAACAACCCAAAAACAUAACAAAAUAAAGUAUCAGCGCUAGAUAAUCUCCUGGCUUAUAUUCAAUCGGAUUAAGAAGAGUUUCCCCAAAAGAUUUCAGCGAAAAUUAUACAAUACGUUGGCCGGAUUUUACCAUUUUCUAUAAUAUUGUCUACAGAGGAUGCCAAAUUAAUGUUAACACAUUUUUAAUUCAUCGUAUCUUUGUAAAUACUGAACGGAACAGAACAAUUUUGGUCUGAUAUUACUUUUAGAGAAAGAGAAAUGGGGUUUAAGGCCCACUCGACACAAACUAGGUCAUUUCGGGAUUAACACAUGGUUCAAUAUUAUUUCAGGGUCUUUAGAAGUGGGGGGAAACCGGAAGACCCGGAAAAACCCAAGAGGUUGGACAGGCCAUCUUACUUCUUGUCACGUACAAGCGGGGAUUCGAAACCACGGCAUUUGACUUAAUGACAUACCUUAUGAUCAAAGCCACACGCGUUAACCAUUCGGCCACUCAACUCCUCAUUACUUUUAGAGAUUCUUCUUUUUAUGUUUUACAAGGAAUUGCAACUGUAAAUUGAUUUUUGUAUUAAUAAACUGUGUUAAAUAACUUA